UGGCGGACGGGUGAGUAACGCGUGGAAAACCUGCCGUAUACUGGGGGAUAACACUUAGAAAUAGGUGCUAAUACCGCAUAAGCGCACAGCUUCGCAUGAAGCGGUGUGAAAAACUCUGGUGGUAUCCGAUGGUUCCGCGUCUGAUUAGCUAGUUGGUGGGGUAAUGGCCUACCAAGGCAACGAUCAGUAGCCGGCCUGAGAGGGUGAACGGCCACAUUGGGACUGAGACACGGCCCAAACUCCUACGGAAGGCAGCAG
rnacentral:rRNA from 1 species